GCGCUGACGAGUGGCGGACGGGUGAGUAACGCGUAGGAAUCUGCCUUAUAGUGGGGGACAACGUGGGGAAACCCACGCUAAUACCGCAUACGCCCCACGGGGGAAAGGCCGGGAUCUUCGGACCGGUCACUAUUGGAGGAGCCUGCGUAGGAUUAGCUAGUUGGUAGGGUAAAGGCCUACCAAGGCGACGAUCUAUAGCUGGUCUGAGAGGACGAUCAGCCACACUGGGACUGAGACACGGCCCAGACUCC
rnacentral:rRNA from 1 species